rnacentral:rRNA from 1 species
AUGAACGCUAGCUACAGGCUUAACACAUGCAAGUCGAGGGGCAGCAUUUCAGUUUGCUUGCAAACUGGAGAUGGCGACCGGCGCACGGGUGAGUAACACGUAUCCAACCUGCCGAUAACUCGGGGAUAGCCUUUCGAAAGAAAGAUUAAUACCCGAUGGUAUAAUCAGACCGCAUGGUCUUGUUAUUAAAGAAUUUCGGUUAUCGAUGGGGAUGCGUUCCAUUAGGCAGUUGGUGAGGUAACGGCUCACCAAACCUUCGAUGGAUAGGGGUUCUGAGAGGAAGGUCCCCCACAUUGGAACUGAGACACGGUCCAAACUCCUACGGGAGGCAGCAGUGAGGAAUAUUGGUCAAUGGGCGCAGGCCUGAACCAGCCAAGUAGCGUGAAGGAUGACUGCCCUAUGGGUUGUAAACUUCUUUUAUAUGGGAAUAAAGUUUUCCACGUGUGGAAUUUUGUAUGUACCAUAUGAAUAAGGAUCGGCUAACUCCGUGCCAGCAGCCGCGGUAAUACGGAGGAUCCGAGCGUUAUCCGGAUUUAUUGGGUUUAAAGGGAGCGUAGGUGGACAGUUAAGUCAGUUGUGAAAGUUUGCGGCUCAACCGUAAAAUUGCAGUUGAUACUGGCUGUCUUGAGUACAGUAGAGGUGGGCGGAAUUCGUGGUGUAGCGGUGAAAUGCUUAGAUAUCACGAAGAACUCCGAUUGCGAAGGCAGCUCACUGGACUGCAACUGACACUGAUGCUCGAAAGUGUGGGUAUCAAACAGGAUUAGAUACCCUGGUAGUCCACACAGUAAACGAUGAAUACUCGCUGUUUGCGAUAUACAGUAAGCGGCCAAGCGAAAGCAUUAAGUAUUCCACCUGGGGAGUACGCCGGCAACGGUGAAACUCAAAGGAAUUGACAGGGGCCCGCACAAGCGGAGGAACAUGUGGUUUAAUUCGAUGAUACGCGAGGAACCUUACCCGGGCUUAAAUUGCAUUUGAAUAUAUUGGAAACAGUAUAGCCGUAAGGCAAAUGUGAAGGUGCUGCAUGGUUGUCGUCAGCUCGUGCCGUGAGGUGUCGGCUUAAGUGCCAUAACGAGCGCAACCCUUAUCUUUAGUUACUAACAGGUCAUGCUGAGGACUCUAGAGAGACUGCCGUCGUAAGAUGUGAGGAAGGUGGGGAUGACGUCAAAUCAGCACGGCCCUUACGUCCGGGGCUACACACGUGUUACAAUGGGGGGUACAGAAGGCAGCUACCUGGUGACAGGAUGCUAAUCCCAAAAGCCUCUCUCAGUUCGGAUCGAAGUCUGCAACCCGACUUCGUGAAGCUGGAUUCGCUAGUAAUCGCGCAUCAGCCAUGGCGCGGUGAAUACGUUCCCGGGCCUUGUACACACCGCCCGUCAAGCCAUGAAAGCCGGGGGUACCUGAAGUACGUAACCGCAAGGAGCGUCCUAGGGUAAAACUGGUAAUUGGGGCU